rnacentral:rRNA from 1 species
AUUGAACGCUGGCGGCAGGCCUAACACAUGCAAGUCGAACGAGUGGCGGACGGGUGAGUAACGUCUGGGAAACUGCCUGAUGGAAGGGGAAAAAUACUGGAAAAGGUAGCUAAUACCGGCUUCCCUAAUAAUAGCCCAGCUGGGAUGGGCUGGUUGGUGGGGUAAUGGCUAACCAAGGCGACGAUCCCUAGCUGGUCGGUGAGGAUGACCAGCCACACUGGAACUGAGACACGGUCCAGACUCCUACGGUAGGCAGCAGGGGGGAAUAUUGCACAAUGGGCGCAAGCCUGAUGCAGCCAUGCCGCGUGUAUGAAGAAGGCCUUCGGGUUGUAAAGUACUUUCAGCGGGGAGGCGUUACCCGCAGAAGAAGCCCCGGCUAACUCCGUGCCAGCAGCCGCGGUAAUAC